CUGAGUGUGGCGUAGCUUGGCAACGCGCCUGGUUUGGGACCAGGAGACCGGAGGUUCGAAUCCUUCCACUCAGA
rnacentral:tRNA from 1 species